rnacentral:rRNA from 1 species
GACGUAGGGGGCAAGCGUUAUUCGGAAUUAUUGGGCGUAAAGCGCUCGUAGACGGGACAGGAAGUCCGUGAAGAAAGACCUGGGCUCAACCCCGGGCCUGCAGUGGAUACGGGCUGGCUGGAGGCAGGCAGGGGAGAACGGAAUUCCUGGUGUAGCGGUGAAAUGCGCAGAUAUCAGGAGGAACACCGGUGGCGAAGGCGGUUCUCUGGAACGCAACUGACGCUGAGACGCGAAAGCGUGGGGAGCGAACAGG